GCAGAAAACCUCCUGAUAGGUCCGUUUUAGACUUGGUUUCCUGUGAAAUGCAGCCACAGACCUGAGAGGUCUGACCUGAGGGCUGGCAGGACUUCCUCUUCUUAGGCUGGAGUGCAAUACGUGAAGCUUUCAGAGGCUGAAAUCUUCCAAUGCAAAGGGUGUUUUUAAAGACACACGGUGUCCUUAUGUGGCACUUCAUAGUUACCAGAACACAAUAAAAGGAACUGCUGGGCAACACUCAAGCAUGGAAGAAAGAAUGAGAAAGGAACCAGAAUCACUUCCCUCUCUUUAAGGUGAAUGGUUCCAGACACUCAUGAUUGCAAAAUAAAUAUUAAAAUCCCUUCAUAAAAGUCAGUUGUGCACCUGGACUCAGGGUUACCAUGGAGAUUCAAGGCAGCAAUCUCACUGACACUGGAUCCGUGCCUUCUCUCACCCCAAAGUUACCUAUGAGGAAUUCCUGAGUUUUACUGUGGUUCAUUUAACAUCCGGAGUUCAGAGACAUGAAUACUUGAGCAGGCCGGGGCUUCGUGAGAACUAAAGCAAUGUUAGAAGAGCCCGCAUGACUGCCUUAAUGAGGAAGACUCUGCUGGAACUGGGGUCAGGGUCUCCAGGAAAUUCCAGUCCAUCAUCUCCCUUGGUGAGCAAAAGAAGCCACUGGUGGUCCUUGCAAGUAGAAGUGCAAUGAAAACAGGAUUAUGGCGAUGGAUGACAGUGUGAGAGAGAAAAGAAUUAUCACCUUCUUCCCCUUUCCCAAAUAAUUCAUUCUCUAAGUUCAGCAGUCCAACAAGAAUGGCUUCUCAUGCCAGAGUAGACUCUUCUUGUAUUUAGGACGGCCACUGGGUGUGUAGAGAAUAAAUUUGCUUUUAAUUUUCUGUCUGCUAGCUCCUCCUUGGUGAAGCUGCCUACUGGUUCCCAAACCUAAAUUGGCUCUUCACUCUCCUGGGAACAUUGAACUGUAACCAAUCCUUCUACAUUUUGAUCUACUCAUUCGAACAAUAGCCACCUUGCCUUUGCUUUUUUGAAUUGUGAGAAUAAAACGAGGCUCAUCAAAGAAUCAUGACAUAUAAUAUGAAUCCAAGAAAUUGUAGAUACUAAUCUUCAUCCUCUCCAUCAUCAUGAUCAUCAAACAGAACCAUGAAGACCAGAACAGGAUAUAUGUCUAUGGAAGUGCUGACCGUUUUGUGUUAAUUUCUGUAACAUAAGUAGGUAUGUGGGGGUAAAAGCUGCAAUAAGCAGAUUGUAGUUCGGAAUUAAGACCUUUAUGAGAGGUGAACAUCCAUGAACUAUUAACUCAGGAGGUGGUUUGUAAAUUCCUUGUCUAUAUAGUCAUGUGUCUGUAAAUUGGAAGCCUCUGGUGGUGAGAGUGGUGUCAUUGGUGGUGGUGAUUUUACACUAGAUAACAUUAAAGACAAUUUUCAAACUAGCAAUUAUAGGGUUUUAUUAAACAUUAUUCUUAAUACAUUUAUAAACAUGGUUAAGUUUACAGGAACACUCUGAGGGCAAGGUCCAUACUAUAGUUGAAUCUUUGACCCUUGUACCUGGUGAAAUACCCAUGCCAUUAUUACGCCCUUAGUAAAUGUUAAUUGCUAAGUGAGUACAUAAAUAAAUAAAUGGGUGACUACUGGAAUAAUAAAAUGUGACAAUAUAUAUAAAACAGGUUUGUUCAUAUUUCUGAAAAUCUGUGAAGCUAAUUUUGUUCUUGGUGCUCUCUGCUUUUUCCUUUCAUGCUCAGAUCCACCUGUCCCUUCUGUCUCUUGAUAGAGCUCCUUCCAAAAUUCUCACAUUUCUCAGAUAUUUUC
rnacentral:lncRNA from 10 species